rnacentral:rRNA from 1 species
CCACGAACGAUGAAGCCAGCUUGCUGGUGGAUUAGUGGCGAACGGGUGAGUAACACGUGAGUAACCUGCCCUUGACUCUGGGAUAAACCUGGGAAACUGGGUCUAAUACCCCAUAUGACUCCUCAUCGCAUGGUGGGGGGUGGAAAGCUUUUUGUGGUUUUGGAUGGACUCGCGGCCUAUCAGCUUGUUGGUGAGGUAAUGGCUCACCACGGCGACGACAGGUAGCCCGCCUGAGAGGGUGACCCCCCACACUGUGACUGAGACACAGCCCACACUCCUACAGGAGGCAGCACUGGGGAAUAUUGCACACUGGGCGAAAGCCUGAUGCACCGACACCCCGUGAGGGAUGACAGCCUUCUCGUUGUAAACCUCUUUCAGUA